AUUGAACGCCGGCGGCAUGCUUUACACAUGCAAGUCGAACGGUAACAGGUUAAGCUGACGAGUGGCGAACGGGUGAGUAAUGCAUCGGAACGUGCCCGAUCGUGGGGGAUAACGCAGCGAAAGCUGCGCUAAUACCGCAUACGAUCUGAAGAUGAAAACGGGGGACCGUAAGGCCUCGCGCGAUCGGAGCGGCCGAUGUCAGAUUAGGUAGUUGGUGGGGUAAAGGCCCACCAAGCCGACGAUCUGUAGCUGGUCUGAGAGGACGACCAGCCACACUGGGACUGAGACACGGCCCAGACUCCUACGGGAGGCAGCAGUGGGGAAUUUUGGACAAUGGGCGAAAGCCUGAUCCAGCAAUGCCGCGUGCAGGAAGAAGGCCUUCGGGUUGUAAACUGCUUUUGUACGGAGCGAAAAGGUCCUUUCUAAUACAAGGGGCUCAUGACGGUACCGUAAGAAUAAGCACCGGCUAACUACGUGCCAGCCGCCGCGGUAA
rnacentral:rRNA from 1 species